GGGUCUUCGCCGACACCAUAGAGGUGGGCCGUUGGCGACGUUAGAGGCGCGGGUGUUCGGCUACAUCACUGGGGCGCCAUGGUGCCUGGAGCUGGGCAGUUUUCUCAUCAGAGUGGGGACUGGUAAGAGUGACCUCCCCGCCAGGUUCUGUGUGUUGCCGGCUGAAGAAGGGUAGCUGAAAAAUUCAGACCCAGCACAGUGUUUAUGUUGGUCAAAAAUAGAAAACUAUGUCUGGCGCGGCCGAGGCGGGAGGACCCUUCAGGCCAAGAGCAGCCUAGCAACAUGGCGCAACCCCAUCUCUGUAGUCCUACCUCAGCCCCCCAGCUACUUGAACCCAAAGGUUCAAGGCUCCAGUGAGCUAUGAUCCCACCACAGCAUUCCAGCCUGCGAGAUUGAGAUGAUGAUUAUUCCCCACCUUCUAAGAGACAAAGACCAACGAGCCACCACAGCCACCAGUCCCAGAACCCGCCAAUGCUGGGGAACGGAAAAUGAGGGAGUUCAACUCUGGCCCUCACAAUCCAGUGGAGGAGACGCAACUCAUCUGCCUCUGUCCCUCUGGGCACGCCUCAUGCCAGGUGCAUCUGUGGACAGGGGCCAUGCUCCUGGGCUUCCAAAGUUGGAGAAAGCUGCCAGGCUCAGGUCUGAAGGCCAGAAUUCUACAGUAAGUCCUACUGAGUCAAGGUGGGAGCAGGGUCGGUAGCUUCCGAGGCUCUGCGGGAGAAUCUGUUUCCUGGCCGUAGAGGUGGCCUGCACUCCUCAGCCUGUGCUGCCCGUCUCGAAUGACUGGAGUUUCCUGCUUCUGUCACUACACCUCCCACCCUCUCCAUCACCUGCUCUGCUCUUACAAGGAUCCGAAGAAAUGGAAUCAUCGUAUCGCUGAUCUACGUAAACAAACUGAAGAAUUGUCUGAAAGAAAAUAUGACAUGAACUUAUGAAUUCAACAGGUGAAGAUUUACAACUUGAUAAAUCAACUUUGUCAGCUCGAGCUGUAAAAGCCAAAGUGGAGAUGCGGUUUCACCAUGUUGGCCGGGCCAGUCUCGAACUCCUGACGUCAAGUGAUCUUCCCGCCUCGACUCCUGAUAUCAAGUGAUCUUCCCGCCUCGGCCUCCCAGAGUGCUGAGAUUACAGACGUGAACCCAUGCCUGGCCAGGAAUUUUGUUUUUUAGGAAGGCUUUCUACUAAUGGAAUUCCUGGCCUUGAGAGGAUGUUACUUUAGAAGGAAAGGAUUUUUUUGUUAUUAAAAGGUUCAAGCAAUUCUCCUGCCUCAGCCUCCUUAGUAGCUGGAUUUACAGGCAUGCGCCACCAUGCCUGGCUAAUUUUUUGUAUUUUUAGUAGAGAUGGUGUUUCACCAUGUUGACCAGGCUGGUCUAGAACUCCUGACCUUGGGUGAUCCACCCGCCUCGGCCUCCCAAAGUGCUGGGAUUACAGGCAUGAGCCACUGCGCCCAGCCUGGGCCUGCUUCUUUCUCUUUUUCUUUUUUUUUCAUUAGCAGCUUAAAAUUGGUGCCUUAUUCAGACACAAGCAAAAGGACAUUAGCCCAGCUUUGGAAAUAGGUGAGAGCCCAUAUAUGAUUUUCCUAGUUUCUCCUCCCCCUUUGCUUUUUGCUCUCUUGUUAGUAUAUUAAUUGUUUUCACUCUCUGAAUCUUUUUUCCCCAUUUCUUUGGCAGACAUUUUUACUUGUCUUGGAAGAGUAGGUGAAGAGCUGUUUUUAGGACUCUUUGAAAGGGUACAGUAUGGGUGACAGUCUUGGCUAAUGGUAACAUCCAGGGAGCUGGGGUCAGCGUGAGCUGGAAUCAGUUCAAAUUAGCAAAGCACUGGCACUCAGUGGCAGGAAUACAAGUGACUGCAAAGUGUUAAACACAUCUGGAAAGGGAUACUGACAUCAUCCUCAGAAUCUGUGGGGAGUUCACAUAGCCAGUUAAGACCCAUUCUUCUUUGACCCUGUAAAGAUUCUUUAAAGAAUAAAUACCCUUAGUGGUUUUCUAGCCAGCUUGCCUGCUCAUUUAUCUUUGAGGACGACAUGCCUUGUGGAGCUCCACAGGCCCCAGAGGGGUAUGGAUUCUGCAUUUAAAAGUGCUGAAGCUGAGAGACUGGGUCUUGGUGGAC
rnacentral:lncRNA from 1 species